UACGGAGGGUGCAAGCGUUAUCCGGAUUCACUGGGUUUAAAGGGUGCGUAGGUGGGCAGGUAAGUCAGUGGUGAAAUCUCCGGGCUUAACCCGGAAACUGCCGUUGAUACUAUCUGUCUUGAAUGUAGUGGAGGUGAGCGGAAUAUGUCAUGUAGCGGUGAAAUGCUUAGAUAUGACAUAGAACAUCGAUUGCGAAGGCAGCUCGCUACACUAUUAUUGACACUGAGGCACGAAAGCGUGGGGGAUCAAACAGG
rnacentral:rRNA from 1 species